rnacentral:ncRNA from 3 species
GCUAGCGUGGCAGAGCUCGGUAAAUGCAA